UACGGGAAGCAGCAGUGGGGAAUAUUGCACAAUGGGCGAAAGCCUGAUGCAGCUAUGCCGCGUGUAUGAAGAAGGCCUUAGGGUUGUAAAGUACUUUCAUCGGGGAGGAAAAACAAAACUAAUAAUUUUAUUUCUUGACGUUACCCGAAAAAGAAGCACCGGCUAACUCCGUGCCAGCAGCCGCGGUAAUACGGAGGGUGCUAGCGUUAAUCAGAAUUACUGGGCGUAAAGAGCACGUAGGUGGUUUUUUUAAGUCAGAUGUGAAAUCCCUGGGCUUAACCUAGGAACUGCAUUUUGAAACCGAAAUACUAGAGUAUCGUAGAGGGAGGUAGAAUUCUAGGUGUAGCGGUGAAAUGCGUAGAUAUCUGGAGGAAUACCUGUGGCGAAAGCGGCCUCCUAAACGAAUACUGACACUGAGGUGCGAAAGCGUGGGGAGCAAACAGGGAUUAGAUACC
rnacentral:rRNA from 1 species